UCCAACAUGGACAGACUCAGGAAGUCACUCUCCCCGGCUCUGUUCAAGUGGCACAGAGGGGCCCAGGGCUCUGCCCGACGAUGUACA
rnacentral:snoRNA from 1 species